UACGUAGGGUGCAAGCGUUAAUCGGAAUUACUGGGCGUAAAGCGUGCGCAGGCGGUUCUAUAAGACAGAUGUGAAAUCCCCGGGCUCAACCUGGGAACUGCAUUUGUGACUGUAGAGCUGGAGUACGGCAGAGGGGGAUGGAAUUCCGCGUGUAGCAGUGAAAUGCGUAGAUAUGCGGAGGAACACCGAUGGCGAAGGCAGCCCCCUGGGUCAAGAUUGACGCUCAUGCACGAAAGUGUGGGGAGCAAACAGG
rnacentral:rRNA from 1 species